UACAAAUAUAACACAACAUUCUCGGCUUGUUAAGUUAAACUUUUUUAUUAAAAUACUAUUCUUAAUUAAGGAUACAUCGAAGAAAAACUACAAUUGUUACGAAUAAGACGGAUUGUAAACGAAGAGGAUUAAAAUUCUAAAAGCUUACUCUAAACUUAAAAAUACGAGUUUGUCUUGAGGAAGUCCGAACGACUUCACCGUCUCCGUAACAAAACUUUUAGAAUUUUAUAUUCUUAAGUUGUUCUUCGUUGGACAUUCAUCGAGUAGAUAGAACAUAACCAUGUCCCACUCGAGUCAGCAUCAGUGCAUCAUAUGCAACCAACCAAAUGAAGCAGAUCGGAAAAUGGUUCAAUGUGACGUCUGCGACCGAUGGUACCACUUCAUGUGUGCCGGAGUCAACGACAGUAUUGAG